GACGAACGCUGGCGGCGUGCUUAACACAUGCAAGUCGAACGGAAAGGCCCUGCUUUUGUGGGGUGCUCGAGGGGCGAACGGGUGAGUAACACGUGAGUAACCUGCCCUUGACUUUGGGAUAACUUCAGGAAAGUUGGGCUAAUACCGGAUAGGAGCUCCUGCUGCAUGGUGGUGGUGGGAUAGUUUCGGCGGAUGGGGAUGUACUCGCGGCUGAUCAGCUUGUUGGUGGAGUAGUGGCUUACCAAGGCUUUGACGGGUAGCCGGCACUAGAGGGUGAACGCGCCCCUUGGGCCUGCGGUACGGACCAGACUCCUACGGUAGGCAGCAGUCGGAAAUCUUGCCCAGUGGGCGCACGCGUGAUGCAGCAGCGCCGCGUGCGGGAUGAGGGCCUUCGCGUUGUAAACAGCUUUCGCCUGUGACGAAGCGUGAGUGACGGUAAUGGGUAAAGAAGCACCGGCUAACUACGUG
rnacentral:rRNA from 1 species